UACAGAGGGUGCGAGCGUUAAUCGGAAUUACUGGGCGUAAAGCGUGCGUAGACGGUCAUGUAAGUCGGGUGUGAAAGCCCCGGGCUCAACCUGGGAAUUGCAUUCGAGACUGCAUGGCUAGGAUGCGGAAGAGGGAAGCGGAAUUUCCGGUGUAGCGGUGAAAUGCGUAGAUAUCGGAAGGAACACCAGUGGCGAAAGCGGCUUCCUGGUCCAGCAUCGACGUUCAGGCACGAAAGCGUGGGGAGCAAACGGG
rnacentral:rRNA from 1 species